CGAUAGUGAACCAGUACCGUGAGGGAAAGGCGAAAAGAACCCCUGUAAGGGGAGUGAAAAAGAAUCUGAAACCGUGUGCGUACAAGCAGUGGGAGCCCGAAAGGGUGACUGCGUACCUUUUGUAUAAUGGGUCAGCGAGUUAUCUGUAUUAGCGAGGUUAACUUUGAUGAGGGAGCCGUAGGGAAACCGAGUCUUAAUAGGGCGAGAAGUUGAUGCAGGUAGACCCGAAACCGAGUGAUCUAGUCCUGGACAGGCUGAAAGCAGGGUAACACCUGCCGGAGGGCCGAACCUACUGUCGUUGCAAAGCCAGAGGAUGAUCUGGGACUAGGGGUGAAAGGCCAAUCAAACCCGGUGAUAGCUGGUUCUCCCCGAAAGCUAUUUAGGUAGCGUCCUGCAGGGGCGUAUGGGGGUAGAGCACUGUUAUAGGAAGGGGUUCAUUGCGAACUACCGACCUAUUGCAAACUACGAAUACCAUACAGUUGUAAGCAGGGGACACACAGUGGGUGCUAACGUUCAUUGUGAAGAGGGAAACAACCCGGACCGCCAGCUAAGGUCCCAAAGUUCUGAUUAAGUGGGAAACGAUGUGGGAAGGCAUAGACAGCCAGGAUGUUGGCUUAGAAGCAGCCAUCAUUUAAAGAAAGCGUAAUAGCUCACUGGUCGAGUCGGCCUGCGCGGAAGAUGUAACGGGGCUCAAAUCAGACACCGAAGCUGCGGAUUUGUACUUAGGUACAAGUGGUAGGGGAGCGUUGUGUAAGCCUGAGAAGAUGUACUGGAAGGUAUGUUGGAGGUAUCACAAGUGCGAAUGCUGACGCAAGUAACGAUAAAACGAGUUAAAUGCUCGUUCGCCGGAAGACCAAGGUUUCCUGUCCAACGUUAAACGGGGCAGGGUUAGUCGGAACCUAAGGCGAGGAUGAAAAUCGUAGUCGAAGGGAAACGGGUUAAUAUUCCCGUACUUGGAUAUGUUGCGAUGAGGUGACGGAGGAGGUAAGGUUAGCCAGCCGAUGGUUGUGCUGGUGAAAGGCAGUAGGUAGUAAGGAGGGUUAAAAGACUUUUUACGAUAAUCUGAGAGCCGAGACGAAUUAACUACGGUUAAGAAGUAACCCUAUCCAGACUUCCAGGAAAAGCCUCUAAGCUACAGACAUAUACAAUCCGUACCCCAAACCGACACAGGUGGUCGGGUAGAAGAUACCAAGGCGCUUGGGAGAACCCGGGUGAAGGAACUAGGCAAAAUUGUACCGUAACUUCGGGAGAAGGUACGCUGUGGUUUGUAAUAAGAUUAACUCUUAGAGCGAACUGCAGCCGCAGAUAAAUGGUGGCUGGGACUGUUUAACAAAAACAUAGCACUCUGCAAACCUGAAAGGGGAAGUAUAGGGUGUGACACCUGCCCGGUGCCGGAAGGUUAAAUGAUGAGGUUAGAGCAAUCGAAGCCUCUGAGUGAAGCCCCGGUAAACGGCGGCCGUAACUAUAACGGUCCUAAGGUAGCGAAAUUCCUUGUCGGGCAAGUUCCGACCUGCACGAAUGGUGUAACCAUGGCCACGCUGUCUCCACCCGGGACCCAGUGAAACCGAAAUCGCUGUGAAGAUGCAGUGUACCCGCGGCUAGACGGAAAGACCCCGUGAACCUUUACUGCAGCUUGACACUGAACCUUGAACCUGUUUGUGCAGGAUAGGCGGGAGACUUUGAAGUAGAGACGCCAGUCUUUAUGGAGUCGACCUUGAAAUACCGCCCUGAUAUGUUUGAGGUUCUAACUUGAAGGUAACAGCCUUAAGGACAGUGUCUGGUGGGAAGUUUGACUGGGGCGGUCUCCUCCCAAAGAGUAACGGAGGAGCACGAAGGUCGGCUGAUCACGGUCGGAAACCGUGAGGUCAGUGCAAUGGCAAAAGCCGGCUUGACUGCGAGAGCAACAACUCGAGCAGGUGCGAAAGCAGGUCAUAGUGAUCCGGUGGUUCCAUAUGGACGGGCCAUCGCUCAACGGAUAAAAGGUACUCUGGGGAUAACAGG
rnacentral:rRNA from 1 species